AUUAUGAGUUGUUCCUAAGACAUACAACUUGUGAGAAAGGCUGUGGAUCUAUGAGGAAAAGAGUUGGAAGGCUCCUGGGAAAAGGGGUAUGUCUGAGACCAGGAACCAGGAAAAAAUGGAAAGGGAUGCUUAGGGCUUGGAGUUGGGAAGGCAGAAUUCCAAACGAUAGUCACUUCUCUUGUCAGAUCCCUUAAUUAAAAUGAAUGCCAUGAGACUGUUGUAAUAUUGUCAUCCUACUGAAAUUGUGAUCAGUUGACGAGUUUGAAAUAAGGAGACUCCAGCCAGUCAUCUGGAUGACAGUUCCACCAAUAGGUCAAAUUACUUGAGGCCUUUGUUGCCUAACAAGGCUGGUGGAUCAAUGAUGCAAGCAUCUCUGACUGGGUGACUAUGUGACAACCAGCUGGCAGUACUUCGAGAUGGAAAAUAUAAAGCAAUGACUAGAAGAUUGGUAGUCUGCAGAAGGGAGAACUAAGUAAUUUGCAAAACUAAAGAACAAAACUAACAACAGGGCAGCAUUCUGAACUGGAAUCUACUGAAAGGAAUAAAUAAAACCAAAUACUUGAAUCUGUAAUUAGCAUCCACCUCUGUACACUGGUGAAGAAAGUUUCCGUUUGAACUUUUCUUCUUUUUUUUCUGGCAUGGGAAUUUUCUAAUUAUGUUUGUUUUGGCUAACAAUAAAA